AUUGAACGCUGGCGGCAGGCCUAACACAUGCAAGUCGAACGAGUGGCGGACGGGUGAGUAAUGUCUGGGAAACUGCCUGCUGGAGGGGGAUAACUACUGGAAACGGUAGCUAAUACCGCAUACCAUCGGAUGUGCCCAGAUGGGCUUAGCUUGUUGGUGGGGGAACGGCUCACCAAGGCGACGCUCCCUAGCUUGUCUGAGAGGCUGCUCAGCCACACUGGAAUUGAGACACGGCCCAGCCUCCUACGGGAGGCAGCAGUGGGGAAUUUUGGACAAUGGGCGCAAGCCUGAUGCAGCCAUGCCGCGUGUAUGAAGAAGGCCUUCGGGUUAUAAAGUACUUUUGUUAGGGAAGCGGUACCUAAAGAAGAAGCACCGGCUAACUACGUGCCAGCAGCCGCGGUAAUAC
rnacentral:rRNA from 1 species